rnacentral:rRNA from 1 species
AAUUUUGGACAAUGGGGGAAACCCUGAUCCAGCCAUCCCGCGCGUAUGAUGAAGGCCUUUGGGUUGUAAAGUACUUUUGGCAGAGAAGAAAAGGUACCUCCUAAUACGAGGUACUGCUGACGGUAUCUGCAGAAUAAGCACCGGCGAACUACGUUCCAGCAGCCUCGGGAAUACGUAUGGUGAAACAGUUAAACGGAAUUAAUGGGCGUAAAGGCGGUUUAGGCGGUUCAGAAAAUAAGAUGUGAAAACCCAGGGCCCAACCUUGGAACUGCAAUUUGAACUGCCGAGCUAGAGUAUGUCAGAGGGGGGUAGAAUUCCACGUGUAGCAGUGAAAUGCGUAGAUAUGUGGAGGAAUACCGAUGGCGAAGGCAGCCCCCUGGGAUAAUACUGGCGCUCAGACACGAAAGCGUGGGGAGCAAACA